ensembl:lncRNA
UACAGAACGGUUGGCAACCCUAGUCCCCAUAAUGAGUCCCCAUGAGUCUGUGUGUAUUCAGGUUUAAUUCCCCACCAGGAUAUUUAAACCCGUACACACACACAUUCUCCUUUCACAUACAUUUGUUUCUACUUGUAAUAUAUAUAUAUAUACAGUAGGUAGACAACCAGAAUGGGUAAUACCGCUGUGCCGCGGCGUUAACUGCAAGUCAGUCACGUGUUAAAAUCAGGGCCGGCGAUUGCUAUAGGCGAACUAGGCGGUUGCCUAGGGUGACAAAUAUGUUGGGGGCGCGGGCGCCCUCUAGGGUCGCCGUUAUGUUACGUUACGUUAGGCAAGUGCGCAGUUGAUGAAGAAAAUGAAGCGCUCUAAUAAACCCUCCGGUGCACAGGGACGAAAACGGAGAAAGGAAGAAGAUAAAAGGAAAACCCAGUAUAGAGAUGCACUCAGGAAAUUUUUGCAGAGGCCGUAAUAUAUAAUGUGAUGUGAUUAUAUAUAACUUUUAUAAUCACAUCACAUUAAUACUACUUAUUGUAAUCAGUAGUAUUAUUUAGCCUUGUAGCAGCCUAAUAGAUUAGUAAUAAUAGUAGUGGUGGUAGAACUUGUAAUUUAUCUACUACAAGUUACAUGGUCAGAGAUAAAAUGUAUUUGUACAAUGCAACUAUGUGGUAGGAUGAUAGAAAUGACCAAUGCAAUUGUGUAACAAACAGCAUGGAUGUGUUUAAAUACAUACAGCUGCAGGAGUAGGGACAUCCAGUAGUGGUACUCCAGGGACCAGUGACACACAGGCCAGGAACACACAGCCUGCAUCAAGUGAGUCUAUUUAAUAGUAUUUAUUCAAGCCACAUCCAUACUUUAAAGAACAACAGAAAAAGGUUAGCAUGUAUUAAAAUACAAUAGCUUGUUUUCUUAAAGAAGUUCAACCACAUUCAUCAUUUCACUCACUGCUUGUCUGGCUAUACAAUAUGCUUGUAUACAGGUGAAGGUGAAGGGACACCCAGGACCACAUCAAGCACUCAGGGCACCAGUGAAAGACAGACGACUGAGACCAGGGACACGCAGCCUGAAUGAAGUUAGCCCUUUGAAUAGCUAAUUCAAGCUUACAACCAUCUGACAAUAUGUACUAGAAGAUAAUGAAAACACAUGGAAAUCACAAUAACAUCCCAUCCCUAUGAAUUUAAUUUCAAUCACAGUUUUAGUAAUUUUCACUAAUUUAAUUUAACACCACUGAUCUGGCUGUUGCAGGUGAAGGGGCCACAUUUAGCAUUCCAGGCCCCAGUGAAACACAGACCACUGAGACCAGGGAUACUCAGCCUGAAGCAAGUAAGACCCUUGAAUACCGUUUAUUCAACCACUAUUUAAAACUUCAGUGACUUGUCUCCAAGUAAACAUUGACAUUCCUCAUUAAUUAAUUUCAAACACUACUGGUCUAUUAUACUCUAUAUGCUGGUCUAUACUAUAUCUUCUUUCUU